AGAUGAAGCCGUUUCAGCUCGUCGGUCUUAAUUGGCUCAUCCUGAUGCAUCGCCGCAAGCUCAGCUGCAUCCUCGCAGACGAGAUGGGGUUGGGUAAAACGAUACAGGCGAUAUCGUUCAUCGCGUAUCUGGUGGAAGAGGGCGCCACCGGUCCUCACCUCAUCGUCGUUCCGGCGUCCGUCAUCGAUAACUGGGCUGAGAGAGUUCGGUUCUGUGGU